GUGGGAGGUUGUUUUCCUCUCAUGUAGCAUUUUUCCAGUGUGUGAAAAUCUCUGGCCUCAAAGCACACUUGUGGGAACCCAUAAUUGAGUCUGAAAUCAUCCAACAGCAGCAGAAAGUUCUUACAGCCCUGAGAGCCUCAGGGAACCAGGAUGCUUACAGAACCUUCCUGAAAAACACGGGAUCUACAGCUAAAGCCAGAAAACCUCCAGAGACCAUCUGGACCAACCCUUCCUCUCACAGGCCAGCCUGUGGAUGAAUUUCUGCGUAAGUCAUGGAACAGAUGUAGGCCCAGCUAUUCCACUGAAGAUUUUCUAGCAUUUCCCCAGUCCCAGGACCAGCAUAUGGCAGGUAUUCCAUACAUGUUUGUUAAAUUAAUGAGUGAAGUAAUGAAUAAGUGAACAGCAUGUGUU
rnacentral:lncRNA from 1 species